AAAAAAUAUAUCUGCUUUAGAGUAUAUUUUUUUGUUCUGAUGUGUUGUGGCGUUUUAAGGAACUGUUUGAUAUUGGCACCAGCGACUUUUCAAAAUGAGACAAGGAUAUCUACGUAUAUAAGAAAAACAUCUGCUUGAGUAUAUAUUUUUUUGUUCUGAUGUGUUGUGGCAUUUUAAGGAACUUUAAUAUCAGCACCAACAGCUUUUCAAAAUGAGACAAGACUAUCUAUAUAAAAAAACACAUAACCUGAACUCAAACUACACUCGACUUUCCAUCAUGUAUAGCACAGGAUAUGUACUUCCCUGACUACAUAACCCCCUUUCUGAGAUGGAGUAUAUAUAUAUUUUUUUAAGGUGUGUUGCGGCAUUUUAAGGAACUUUAAUAUUGCCACCAACAGCUUUCCAAAAUGAGACAAGGCUAUCUAUAUAAGUAAAAAAAAAAAACAAUUUACAGUCAAGCUACACUCCACUUCCCAUCAUCUAUAGCACAGAAUACAUACUUCACUUCCCUUCACGCCACGGGGUCACGGCCAAAGAAUAAUACACAAUACACAACGACUACAUCUAUCUACGUAUCUAAGAAUGUAUAUAUAUGUCAGUCUGUAUCAGGGUUUAAAAAUAUACAGUAUACAUGGAGAGAUUUAUACAUGGGAGCCUACCUCUCGCGCGGGCAGAGUAUCCAGCUCUGCCCGGGGCCUGGUGGUGAUCGUGCAAGUGUUGGUGUGAGUGACCUGACGGGGAUGCAAGGUGGUGGUGGUGGUGGUGGUGGAUGGCCUGACCUCCCACUGACCUUCACCUCCACCGAUCAGAAACUAGGUCAGAGGUCACAGUGCUGGUGGGACACGACCUGCUGAUUCACUCUACAACGUCUUUGUGAAUUGCUAAGAAAACGCUAUAGAUUUGUCUGUAAAGUAUAUAUAUGCAUGACGAUAAGGUCUUGUGAAUUGCCGAGAUAACUAUAUAUUUGUUUCUACUGUAAAAUAUAUCCAUGACAGAUUUCCAUGACGAUAAAAUGUUUGUGAUUAGCGACGAAAAAACAACACAUUUGUCUCUACAGUAAAAAACAUGUAUGGUAGAUUUCCGUAAGGUUUUGUGAAUUGCCGAGAUAACUAUAUAUUUGUUUCUACUGUGAAAUAUACGCAUGACAAAUUUCUAUGACGAUAAAAUGUUUGUGAUUGGCGACGAAAAAACAACACAUUUGUCUCUACAGUAAAAAAACAUGUAUGGUAGAUUUCCGUGACGAUAACAUUUUCUGAAUUGCAACAGAAAACAAUAUAAUUUCUCUCUAUGGCAAAAACUAAGUAUGACAUAUGUUCAAAUAGGAGCAGAGUGUAGUGAGCUCCUUUGUUUUCAUUUGUUUUUACCCUUGAGCUGCUUCCUUUACCGUAAAAAAAUCAAAUAUCAUGACAACCUUCUCAUAGGCCAGCACCAAGCACCUGCCAUCAAGGGAGCUGUUAACCCGUCCGCUGCGAUUGGCACGGAUUUCGCCUUCACUGGUAGCCUGGUAACAUACGCUCCCAGGUCUUUCUCUGCCUCCGUGGUGGAUAGUGGAGUGUUUCCCAUGUGGUAUUGAAGGUUCAGGACUUCACAUUUUUCUCCAUUGAAUUGUAGCAGACACUAUUUGCUCCCCUCCCGUAGCUUGGUGAUGUCUUCUUGUAGGAAAUCCACGGUCAAGGGGUUAAGAGAAGCAGGAAAGACAGGCCUGUAUGUAUGUAUGCUAUAAGUCAUUUUUCUUCACUGAAUUGUAGCGGCCACUUUUUGCUCCCCUCCUGUAGCUUGGUGAUGUCUUCUUGUAGGAAAUCCGAAGCCAAGGGGUUAAGAGAAGCAGCACGGACAGGCACAUAUGUAUAUAGUAAAGAUAUAGUCACCACCAGAACUGUGUGUCUACCAAAUAUAAGCUUCACUCUGCGGAGCCUCAGGUGACUUGGUAGCCUUACAGGACUAACACUUUGGUAUCAGUUCAGCAUCCCAGAGUCUAGGUAUGUAACAGUGUUCUUUGGGGGCCGACACACACACUCGGCACUCAUCUUCAAACAUCACCUCUCAGGCUCUUCCUUCGUAAAUAUGGCCCCUUCUUAAAUAGCGUCUCCUGAUAUACAGCCUUCAUGGGUGAAUGAAAAUAAGCAUAAGGAAGCAUAAAAGUAAGCAGUAGAAAUGAAUGCAUGUGAAUAAAGUGAAUAAAAAUAAAAAUGAAUGAAAAAUAACAACUUGAAAGGCAAUAACAAUGAAUAAAUAUGAACACUAAAAUGAGUGAAAACAAUAAUAUAUUAAAAUAAAGACUCCACAAGCAACAAAAAAAUGAAUAAAUAUGAAUAAAAUCAAUUAAAAUCAAUAAAAAUUAAAACUACACAAGCAUCAUUAGCAGCACACACACACACACACACACACACACACACACACACACACACACACACUCACCC